CCUACGGGCUGCACCAGUGGGGAAUAUUGCACAAUGGGCGCAAGCCUGAUGCAGCCAUGCCGCGUGUAUGAAGAAGGCCUUCGGGUUGUAAAGUACUUUCAGCGGGGAGGAAGGUGUUGUGGUUAAUAACCGCAGCAAUUGACGCUACCCGCAGAAGAAGCACCGGCUAACUCCGUGCCAGCAGCCGCGGUAAUACGGAGGGUGCGAGCGUUAAUCGGAAUUACUGGGCGUAAAGCGCAUGCAGGCGGCCUGUUAAGUCAGAUGUGAAAGCCCGGGGCUUAACCUCGGAAUUGCAUUUGAAACUGGCAGGCUAGAGUCUUGUAGAGGGGGGUAGAAUUUCAGGUGUAGCGGUGAAAUGCGUAGAGAUCUGAAGGAAUACCAGUGGCGAAGGCGGCCCCCUGGACAAAGACUGACGCUCAGAUGCGAAAGCGUGGGGAGCAAACAGGAUUAGAUACCCGGGUAGUC
rnacentral:rRNA from 1 species